AAAAUGGAUAAAGCUCGAUUGCACUAUAAAGCCCCAAAAAUAGGUAGCAAGAAUGUACAAAAAUGUUCCAGAAAUUACAACAAAUGAGUCGCUACGACUCAUCUUUUCUAUAACCACAAAAAUUUGUCGUUAUUGCACAAAGAAACUAGCCGAGAUCACACAGAUCUCACCAAACAGAACUGCCCCCUCUCACAUAACGACUACAAGUGAUUCUUUCACAUCCAGUAAUGUUCCAUCAAGGAAUCCAACAAAUCAGCCAUUACAGCUUACAACAAGAGGCCGAAAAUCACUAAGAUUUCACAAAAAAAUCAGCCAAAAACGAGUCACAUAGAUUCGACUCAACAAAGGCUAAAAUAUCACAACACCCAUAUGGAUCUAGAGUAUUUCAUGUUGUUGAUUGAUAUUAUUUUUAGAAAAAUGCUCCAAAAAUCAAGCCCUAAUUUCACUAAGACGAAAGAGAGUUUUUCGCACAAAAUGGAGAGAGAAGGAAGAAGGGGCCAAAGUCUGAGAGAGUGAGACGUGAGAGAGAGAGAGUGUGA
rnacentral:lncRNA from 1 species